rnacentral:rRNA from 1 species
GACGUAGGGGGCAAGCGUUGUCCGGAUUCAUUGGGCGUAAAGAGCGUGUAGGCGGCCAGGUAGGUCGGUUGUGAAAACUGGAGGCUCAACCUUCAGAGGUCGACCGAAACCAUCUGGCUAGAGUCCGGGAGAGGAGAGUGGAAUUCCUGGUGUAGCGGUGAAAUGCGCAGAUAUCAGGAAGAACACCCGUGGCGAAAGCGGCUCUCUGGACAUUUCCUGACGCUGAGGCACGAAAGCCAGGGGAGCAAACAGG